UGGUAUAUGAUAGAGGUUACAUUUGUAUUGUGAAAUGUGCCAUAUGAUUUUUUCAUUAUUGAUGUAUUUUUUAAUAAAUCACGAUUAUAACAGCAUACAAAUGUUGUCAGUUAGUAACAAUCGUUCGUCGCUCUGGAAACAACAACUUCGGUCAUUUCCGGCGGUGACGUCAUGAGUAGAACACAGCUGAGCAGAACACAGCUGAGUCACCAUUGUUUAAAUGCCUUGAAGCGGCAAAUAUUAAAACAAAGGAUGCACAACAACAAAACGCGAAGAAUAAUCGGCAAGCGAUGUGUGGUAUGGGGAUGUGGGGCCGUCUCCAAAUCUGGCUAUGGGAUGUUUUUGUGGCCAAAAAAUUGUCAAAUGUCGCGUAUAUGGACCAAACAAGUGCGUCGUACGAGGGCGGACUUUGCUGGACCAGGUAACCCGGGGUCGAUGAAACCUACAAUUUGUGGGCAGCACUUUGAAAGAUCGUGUUUCGACCAGUCCACAAUGCUCGCUAAGGAAAUUGGAUUAAAAAAUAAUUUCAAACUGAACAAAGAUGCUGUUCCAACAAUACUGCCAAGACUCCAAAUGCCAGCACAAGCCACCACGCCGAUUCCUACAUGUCCCCCGAUGCAGAGUCCUCCACUAAAGAGACGGCGAAAUGCAUUCUCCAAAAGGGAGAGAGCGAAGGUAUUGGAAACUUUGUUAAAUGAAGCCACUGACAGAACUGAGGAUAGCAACAAUCUAUUGGACAUCCACACUGGGGAGGAAACUGUGUCUACACCAUUCUUUCCUUGCAGAUUCUUCAGUCUCAUCAGCCUCAUCAGUCCCAGUCAACGUCUUCAGCCUCCAGCACACUUUCCCUGUACAAGGCUCAUUUCCCAUGAUCACAACACCUUAUAUUAUCCUGUCUUUAACAAAAUGUAAAGUCCUUCUACUGCACCUUUUGAAGACUCCAAAACAGGCAUUUGUACUGUAUGUGUUUGGAGAAAUUAUACAACAAAUGGCCCAGAUUUGUACUAUAGAAAAUCGA